rnacentral:rRNA from 1 species
UGGGGAAUUUUGGACAAUGGGCGAAAGCCUGAUCCAGCAAUGCCGCGUGUGUGAAGAAGGCCUUCGGGUUGUAAAGCACUUUUGUCCGGAAAGAAAUCCUUGGCUCUAAUACAGUCGGGGGAUGACGGUACCGGAAGAAUAAGCACCGGCUAACUACGUGCCCGCAGCCGCGGUAAUACGUAGGGUGCAAGCGUUAAUCGGAAUUACUGGGCGUAAAGCGUGCGCAGGCGGUUUGCUAAGACCGAUGUGAAAUCCCCGGGCUCAACCUGGGAACUGCAUUUGGUGACUGGCAGGCUAGAGUAUGGCAGAGGGGGGUAGAAUUCCACGUGUAGCAGUGAAAUGCGUAGAGAUGUGGAGGAAUACCGAUGGCGAAGGCAGCCCCCUGGGCCAAUACUGACGCUCAUGCACGAAAGCGUGGGGAGCAAACAGGAUUAGAUACCCUGGUAGUCCACGCCCUAAACGAUGUCAACUAGUUGUUGGGGA